CUGGGGCUUCGCCUGCAAGCUUAUUACCUCUCAUCUGAAAGCUGCUCCAUUUCCUCACACAUCGGGUAAGUCCUUUAUCAUGAGGUGGCACAAGCCCUGCCGGGGGCUAUUGGUCGCCCCGAGGAAGGAGCCGGGAUGGCAAGCGGGAUCCUAUCAUCAGACUGCAUAAUAACCCCGGGCUCGCCACAGCUGCGCUGUGACCCUUUGUGAUGGAGCUGAUAGCGCUCCCGUGAAAUAAUGUCCUCCUUUUGGGUGUGAAAUCACCAUGUUUAUUAAUUGAGCUAGACAUGAGGGUUACCUUUUUCUUUCCAAGCCAUGAAAAUUUGUGAUUCAGGGCAAAUGGUUACCCCUUCCCCCCCAAGUUGUGUUGUCAAGGGGUUGAGAGAGAAGGACCAGCUGGGAAGAAGAGCUAGUUUGGAGGGUCGAGAGGGACUGAGCUUUACGGCAAGUUCAGAGUAGAUUCAUGCACAGACACCCUACACCUCGCUCAACCGCAAAAGCAACCCUCCACUCCGGGCAAGCACCGCAGGCAAAUACCAAACUCAUUCCCAAAGGAUGGAAGCCGGAGUGGGGAGGGAUGCGCACGGCGCACCCUACCCUGGCCGUCCUGCGUGGGGAUGCGCGGCUCCCCACGCCGCGGUUACCGCGCAUCCCCACGCACGCACUUUAGGAGGUGGGUCGUGCCGAAACAGUACGGCGUCUCUCUCCACGCGCACUUUUUUUUUUUUUUUUUUUUCUUUGCAAUUAGGCUUGUAACGAGCUUAUGUGCUUCUGGGCCAAUAAUACUUGUAUUUAACCUAAUUAAAGCCGACCUUUUAAAAGAUCUGAAAUAUAAACACGCCUUUUUUCUUUUUUUUUUUUUUUUCCCGCUUCCCCCUCCUUUCCUACUCUGGUUUAACAAUUUAACGUUUGACUCCCUGGGCUGGAACAUGCAACCUCUCACCAGAGCACGGAGAGAGGGAGGGGGAAAGUAGCAAAAACCUGCGAAUGAGCCAGAGGGACUGGCUUUGCCCGAGCAUCUGCGACACGCUUCCAGACAGAGCAACCUCAGCCCGGUGCCGCUUUUGUUCCCGGUGGAGAGACCCGGUCUGGCUCGGCUCGGCCCGCCGGGUCUGCGGGGAGCUCGGUCCUCCCCUCCCUCCUCUCGCCGGAACGGGGACGUGAUAAAAGGAGACAGGGCUCUGAAAGGAUUUGAUUGAAAUGGCGUGUGCCAAGCUGAUGGGAGCCAGCGAGGGACAAAGCACCGAGGAGCCAUGGACACUCGAGCAAUUAUUCCUCCACGCUGAAGGUGGAUUAGUGCAAUGGAAAGAAGCAUAUGUUCGGCCUGGGGCGACACUCCCCCUGGCUGGGUUUAGAGAAUGAGAGAGGAGAAAGAGGCUGAACCUGGAAUAUCAACUAUCCGGGAGACAGCCCACCCCACCCCCUCUUAUCCCAGCCUCUCCAAAAGUCUCAGGGAUGGAGACAUAAAUACACACACCCAUGAAGAGAAAUAGAUAGAUACGAACAAACAGGCAAACACCCAAAAAUACAGAUGAACACACACCUCUAGGUACAGCUGCAUGUGCACACAGUACUGGCACACCAGCUCUGCACAGACAGGCAGGAGCAAGAGGCAUCCUAGGUGAAAAACCUCCCUGGGUACAACAAUGUGAACAAUUAAACAGUCAGCCUCCAAGAAGGUCAUAGCAGCAGCCAGUUCUGCUGGAGGCUCCAGUUUCCUCAGACCUUUCCCAAGAAACUUUCCAAAAGCAGCUGCAGCAAGGAAUGGGUGAUCUUCAUACCCCCUACCAGAGCCAUAUCCAGGCCCUCCUGGAAACACAAAGCAAAACCUCAGUUGCCCCUUUUCAAUCUGAUUUUCUUCUAAGCCAUAGCCACCUCCUGUUUUCUUUCCCUUUCCCUAGCUUCCUGCAAAACCUCAUCCUUUUCAGCAGGAUAGCUGCAAGCUCUCCCAAGGGCAUGAGGAUGGGAAGAAACCCCAGCAGCCAGCCCCUGUCAGCCCCCAUCCCAAACAUCAGCAUGCCAGGAUGCUCAUCAAGGCUCCCUGGCAAUGGGACACCCGUCAGCUGCUGUCCUGGAUCAUCUACAGCCAUACACAGGCUCCAAAACUCAGGCAGGCAUAGCAGGAGCACAUUUUUAGCACUAGUAAAGUGUAGCUCGCUAGGCCUAAUGAGGAAAAAGAGCACUGAGGCCAGGCACAGCCCCUGCUUUCCUCCCAGCACUGCCCCACUGGUCUCCCCUGGUCUGGGCACACCAGCACAUGCCACAGUGUUGGGUGUCCCCCCAGCUGUUCUCCAAGCCAUCCCACUUUACAGGGCAGAGAGAUGAGCUCCGCCACAGGAGAGGAGGAGACAGGAUAAGCACAGGCAACAGCAUCCAGCAGCAAGGUAGAGGGCAAGGAGGACAAGCUGGAGGGAAAGGUGCCUGCCAGAAAACUUUAAUGGUAGGGAGGGAGAAAAAAGGAAGAAAAGGGAAUUUCAGCUCUUCCCUUCUCCUGGGAGCCCCAAAAAUGCUCUGUUCUACAAUGAGAAAUGUGUCCCAUAUAUUUCACAUCUCUGCUUGUUGACCCUUAACUUUUGGGAUCAGGAUGGAUCAUACACAGAGAGGAGGGGGCCAGCUCUGCCCAAAGCAGUGCUGAGGCAAGAAGUUCUGUGGGAUGAACAAGCAGGUAGGAACAUAACCAAAAACAUUGUAUAGAAGCAACGUACAUCCCUCAACUUGCAAGUGUAACUGCACGGCUCACACUCCCACAAGGAAACAGCGCUCCAUUCAGAACCCCUGUAUCUGCUUUUAGUCAAGUAUUACAGAGAGAACUAACCAUACCACAGGCAACAACAGCAGUGGGGCUUAGGAACGUCUCUGGACAGAAAAGAUCUCCUAUAGAAAUAGGAUAUGUGUGUAUGUGCACACAACAUGUUCAAGGAACAAGAUGGUGAAAUGGCUUGCACUUCACACCUGACAGUCUUCCACCUUCCUGCUGAACACAAGACAACUUUUUCCUCACCUAGGCUAUGCUUCCCCAGUUUACCCUUGCCCUGGUUUGAAGAUCUGCUGUGCAAAUGAGCUCUGUGACUGCAAACAGGACAAUAACCAUGGAGCUUGGAGUAACCUCAGGUCCCUGGUUUUGAGAGGGAGGGACUCAUGGAGAAACCACAGGCUCUGGGUGCCAGCAUGUGCCUUGCAAAAUCAGAGCCUGAAAGAAAAGUGCCACAGGGAACAAGCAGAUCCCUCCUACACUACCAGAAAUCUCUCAGUAGUCUUACCCUGAUUUCCACACUACAUUCACUCGGUGAAGGUGCUCUAACUGCUCUGUUGGUAUGAUAAAAAUUUUGGGCCACCAAAGUUAAACUCAGCUUAAGAGAGAUAUGACUACAGUUGUUGUAAGAGGAAAUAAAAUAUCACAGAUUUGUCACCUUCUUAUCUACAGCACCAGAAAGGAGUAACAGCUCAAGGAUACAAAUAUUUGCCACCAUCAUGAGCUAUAUAUCUCUUUGCCCUGCCUGAAACAUCAGCUGUUUCAGUCACCCAAGAAAGCCUAGCAACUUUAACUGGAAGAAGAAAAACAAGGCUAUUUUGUUAUUCUGAAGCCAGUAAGGCUUUGCUAGUGAUGUGUCAUAAAAUACUUCCACUUUUCCUCUGUUUCUAAACACUUGCUUUAAACUACUUCUUUUUGGGAGUUUGGAGUUACUAAACUAAAUACUGCAAAUGGAGAGGCUGCAGCCUGUGCAGAAUAAAUGAUUUAAGAACUGGGCUUGGCUGAUUUAUUUUUUCCCUCUGUAUUGGAGAUAAAAAGAAGGAACACAUUCUAGUAAUCCCUACUCAUUUUCACAGCCAUUCUUGCACCUGUAACUCAAAUAAUGAAGCCAUUUGUUAUUUAUAUUGCACUUUCCCCUCCAUUCUAGAUUUCUAACGAUCUGACCCUGCUUUAUGGCCCUGACAAAGCCUGAAACCGGUGUGGACUUCAAAUAAUUGAACGAUAUAAGGAAAAAUCUUUAACUGGAAUGAAGCAGAUGUUAGCUUCAUGCAGUUCCCUAACUUGAUUAUUCUUUGGCCAUGUUAGACAAGCAUUAGUGAUUGAUAAUGAUGCUAAUUAACCCUUUUCCUUUCCAAAACAGUAAACCAAUGCCAGCAGGAUUCUGCAAACAACACACAAAAAGUGUAUACCAGUAUCUGUUCAAAGUGGAUCAGGGACACAACUUCAUUGCCUGAUGCUCGACAAAAACCUUAUCCUGCUGACACCAAGCUGGCUCCAAAUCCUCUCAAGGAGUUAUCAGCUCCAGCUGCUUGCAGGGCAGGGAGCAGAGACAUAGCUCUUUCAUGCAGAAAAGGUGCACGGGACAAAAUCAAAGGCACCAUUUAUUUUUUUAUACUCCCAACCUUUCACGUUAGAUUAUGAAGCCAAUUUAAAUCACUGUGCCCUCACUAGCUGGGAUGGACUUCAUGCUGAUCCCUGUUGGAAGGGCACUAGUUAUUUUAGCUACACUUUCCUAACAUGUGAGUUGAGGCUCUGGGAAUCUGAUCUGGGCUGAGAUAUUCAUGUACCAAGCAGGGAGUGCACAUUGUGGAAUUUAAAUGGGAGGUAGAAGACAAGUAAACAAACAAGGAGCUGAUCUGAUUAUACAGUCGAAUUUAUCAUGGACAAUAAAGAAAUUGCCUUUAAAUGUAAGGGUUUGGAUAAAUGAAUACUCCUAGCAAGUGAAUAAAAUGUAUUCAAUUAACUAAAAACCUUGUGCACUUCUGAACUGAAGUGGAAUCGACUGUAAUUGAUUUAUUUGAAACCAGAGGUUAAGGACUGAAUUAGCUAAGUACAACUGGGUAUUUCAAGCCACUGACUUCUCAAAUGUCAAAUCUCUUCUAUUUUAAAUAUUAUUUCAGCUGCGGGGCAUUGCUGUCCUGAUGGCUGUUCCACCAGUUAAAUCUCAAAUUAUAUUAAUAUUUGAUUUUUGGAGGGUGGGGUAAAAUACGGUACAAAGAGGAGGGCUGUCCUUAUUCACGGUGAAAGAGCACCAAGCUGUAUUUUGGUUCACAUGUAGGAAUUAGCUCAGCGUGGCAGCAACACUCUAACAUUCAGCCACCACUCACCCUCGCUUCAACCGAUCUGGGGCGGGGGGGAAAAUAACAACAGAUUUUUGUUUAGUGUAUAAAAGCAUGACCUAGAAUUUCACUGCUGCAUCUCGAUCACAAUAUUAAAAAUGCAUCCAAAGAAUGCUGAAGUAAUUAGCACAUUUUAGUAAAUGAACACUGGUCGCAGCGAAAAGAGGCUGAACCGAACCUAGUCUGAUUUCCAUUAUCGCCUGUAAAAUCCUUCCUUAGAAAUAACAGUAAUAAAGAAAUCUGUGCAAGGUCAUUUCAUUUCUGUUUUUUGGUGGCUUGCUAAUCCAGCAGCAGAAUACCUAAUAUGCACUCUCCUACCAUGAAGUAGCUAAUUAUAUGUUUAAAACAUUAUUUAUUAUGACCUUAUAAUGUUCUAGCAAAAGACUGCUUUAUACAUUGACCAGUAUAAAACGAUUAUAUUGGGUACAGGUUUCAAAAAGUAACAAGCAUCUGUAAAUCCAGAUAUGAAUGAAUGGUAUUUAAUAAGAUUGUUUUCGUUUAAAAAUGAGUAUUUAUGUGUUGCUGUAGAAAGAGCAGCAAUGUAUUGCUGUUUAUGAAUGCUAUUGUGCCUGAGGUUAGGAUCCCACACACAAUCUGAGAUGCAGCCAAGAAAAACAGCCCUGAUAGACAAUGCUUCACUUCACCUGCUACAAUACUGUGCAUUUCAUUUAUGUCAAGAAUAUGUACAGUUAGGGUUCAUUCACCUCAUUAUUUUGUUACAUCUACUUUACGGUUAACCAGUCUCUCUUGGAAAUAAUAAAUAACUGUUUUUAAAACAAUUGCAGCUUUGCAUUCAAAAGAUCCACUUUCAAUUUAUAGAAAAAAAAUAUUCACCAUUUUUAUAAACUAGCUGGCUCACGAAAAUAGAAUUUAGAUUCCACCAACUCUCUUUCUGCUUGGCAAGAUUGAUUUUACACUGCCUUCCAUAAGUAGAUUACCAAAGCAAAAUGAAACAUCUUGGGCUUUAUCUAAUGCUUUGCUUCACCAGCUCUACCAAACGUCAAAAUAUAUGAGUAAAUGUUAAUUCUCUGUGCAGCUUUAUUGUAAACACCUCCCUCAUAACCUCCUCAAUUUCUGCCUAAGAGAAAAGGGGAAAAAAGGGAGAGAGAGAGUGUCAGGGAGGGAAGGAAAGAGAAAAAUCAGUCUCCACUACUAGAAUACUAGCAACACUUAAAGGAGACCCUCUCUUUAAAAUGCCUUUACAUUCUAAACUGUUAGGGAGACAUUAAGUCUCCCUUCCUAUGAUAUAACAUAAUCCAGCCUGAUCCUGACUUCACCUACCCCGCGGGCCAAAGAAAAUAGAUUCAAAAUCAGAAUUCUCACAUAUUUUUAUAGACCAUCUUCAAGACAUACACUCCAUGUUUUUAAAGCUAACUUCCCUGUUUCACAACUGGUUUCCACAAGAAGAAACUCAGGAUAAAAAUUUCAGUCCCUCAUAAACUGACACAGCCAUCUCAAAAUGUCAGUCUGUGCGUUCCACUAAAACACGAACCAUCAAUCAGAAAUAAUCUGUCUCCUGCAAGAUUUCACUAAAGUUCACAACCGUGAGAUGAUUUUCUUGGCAUCAACUACGGAGCUUUUCUUUUUUCUUGAGGGGGAGGGAGCACCCAGCUCUGAUUUAUCAGUAUAAAUUUUUUUUCACAGCAAUAAUUUUCAGUUUUUUCUAAGUAAUGAUUCUUUUUAAAAUGUCCUUCUAGAGACGUGUUUUUUAAUCUCUGCUCUCUGUUAGGACUACAUGUACAAAAUUUUAUAGGCUUAUAAUUCUGUAUGCUAUAUAGAAACAUAAAUAAAAACCUAGAGGUCAACAUAAAUAAAAUAAAACUUUUAUUUUUUAAAUAAAAUUAUGUUUUGGUUAAA